GACGAACGCUGGCGGCGUGCCUAAUACAUGCAAGUAGAACGCACAGUUUAUACCGUAGCUUGCUACACCAUAAACUGUGAGUUGCGAACGGGUGAGUAACGCGUAGGUAACCUGCCUGGUAGCGGGGGAUAACUAUUGGAAACGAUAGCUAAUACCGCAUAAUAUUGAUUAUUGCGUGAUAAUUGAUUGAAAGAUGCUAUUGCAUCACUACCAGAUGGACCUGCGUUGUAUUAGCUAGUAGGUGAGGUAACGGCUCACCUAGGCGACGAUACAUAGCCGACCUGAGAGGGUGAUCGGCCACACUGGGACUGAGACACGGCCCAGACUCCUACGGGAGGCAGCAGUAGGGAAUCUUCGGCAAUGGACGAAAGUCUGACCGAGCAACGCCGCGUGAGUGAAGAAGGUUUUCGGAUCGUAAAGCUCUGUUGUAAGAGAAGAACGGGUGUGAGAGUGGAAAGUUCACACUGUGACGGUAUCUUACCAGAAAGGGACGGCUAACUACGUG
rnacentral:rRNA from 1 species